rnacentral:rRNA from 1 species
CCUCGGGUUGUAAACUGCUUUUGUACAGAACGAAAAAGCUCUGGUUAAUACCUGGAGUCCAUGACGGUACUGUAAGAAUAAGCACCGGCUAACUACGUGCCAGCAGCCGCGGUAAUACGUAGGGUGCAAGCGUUAAUCGGAAUUACUGGGCGUAAAGCGUGCGCAGGCGGUGAUGUAAGACAGUUGUGAAAUCCCCGGGCUCAACCUGGGAACUGCAUCUGUGACUGCAUCGCUGGAGUUUGGCAGAGGGA